CUACGGGCGGCUGCAGUAGGGAAUCUUGCGCAAUGGGCGAAAGCCUGACGCAGCCAUGCCGCGUGAAUGAUGAAGGUCUUAGGAUUGUAAAAUUCUUUCACCGGGGAAGAUAAUGACGGUACCCGGAGAAGAAGCCCCGGCUAACUUCGUGCCAGCAGCCGCGGUAAUACGAAGGGGGCUAGCGUUGCUCGGAAUUACUGGGCGUAAAGGGCGCGUAGGCGGACAGUUUAGUCAGAGGUGAAAGCCCAGGGCUCAACCUUGGAAUUGCCUUUGAUACUGGCUGUCUUGAGUUCGGGAGAGGUGAGUGGAAUGCCGAGUGUAGAGGUGAGAUUCGUAGAUAUUCGGCGGAACACCAGUGGCGAAGGCGACUCACUGGCCCGAUACUGACGCUGAGGCGCGAAAGCGUGGGGAGCAAACAGGAUUAGAUACCCCCGUAGUC
rnacentral:rRNA from 1 species